rnacentral:rRNA from 1 species
UUGGAACUGAGACACGGUCCAAACUCCUACGGGAGGCAGCAGUGAGGAAUAUUGGUCAAUGGACGAGAGUCUGAACCAGCCAAGUAGCGUGAAGGAUGAAGGUUCUAUGGAUUGUAAACUUCUUUUAUACGGGAAUAAACGGAUCCACGUGUGGAUUUUUGCAUGUACCGUAUGAAUAAGGAUCGGCUAACUCCGUGCCAGCAGCCGCGGUAAUACGGAGGAUCCGAGCGUUAUCCGGAUUUAUUGGGUUUAAAGGGAGCGUAGAUGGGUUGUUAAGUCAGUUGUGAAAGUUCGCGGCUCAACCGUAAAAUUGCAAUUGAUACUGGCAGUCUUGAGUACAGUUGAGGUAGGCGGAAUUCGUGGUGUAGCGGUGAAAUGCUUAGAUAUCACGAAGAACUCCGAUUGCGAAGGCAGCUUACUAACCUGUAACUGACAUUGAUGCUCGAAAGUGUGGGUAUCAAACAGGAUUAGAUACCCUGGUAGUCCACACGGUAAACGAUGAAUACUCGCUGUAGGCGAUAUACAGUCUGC